UCUUUGAUUCAGCGGCGGACGGGUGAGUAAUGCCUAGGAAUCUGCCUGAUAGUGGGGGACAACGUUUCGAAAGGGGCGCUAAUACCGCAUACGUCCUACGGGAGAAAGCAGGGGACCUUCGGGCCUUGCGCUAUCAGAUGAGCCUAGGUCGGAUUAGCUAGUUGGUGAGGUAAUGGCUCACCAAGGCGACGAUCCGUAACUGGUCUGAGAGGAUGAUCAGUCACACUGGAACUGAGACACGGUCCAGACUCCUACGGGAGGCAGCAGUGGGGAAUAUUGGACAAUGGGCGAAAGCCUGAUCCAGCCAUGCCGCGUGUGUGAAGAAGGUCUUCGGAUUGUAAAGCACUUUAAGUUGGGAGGAAGGGCAUUAACCUAAUACGUUAGUGUUUUGACGUUACCGACAGAAUAAGCACCGGCUAACUUCGUGCCAGCAGCCGCGGUAAUACGAAGGGUACAAGCGUUAAUCGGAAUUACUGGGCGUAAAGCGCGCGUAGGUGGUUUGUUAAGUUGAAUGUGAAAGCCCCGGGCUCAACCUGGGAACUGCAUCCAAAACUGGCAAGCUAGAGUAUGGCAGAGGGUGGUGGAAUUUCCUGUGUAGCG
rnacentral:rRNA from 1 species